UACAGAGGGUGCAAGCGUUAAAUCGGAUUUACUGGGCGUAAAGCGCGCGUAGGUGGCCAAUUAAGUCAAAUGUGAAAUCCCCGAGCUUAACUUGGGAAUUGCAUUCGAUACUGGUUGGCUAGAGUAUGGGAGAGGAUGGUAGAAUUCCAGGUGUAGCGGUGAAAUGCGUAGAGAUCUGGAGGAAUACCGAUGGCGAAGGCAGCCAUCUGGCCUAAUACUGACACUGAGGUGCGAAAGCAUGGGGAGCAAACAGG
rnacentral:rRNA from 1 species